rnacentral:sRNA from 1 species
AUAAUAAACAUUUGUACUGUAGACAGCAGGUGCGUUUUUCGCUUAAUAUCCUGCCGAGGUGUAGCGAAUAGAUUCGGCUGAUCGUUUCAGCUGUUAUAUGCUGCCUCCAUGUCUGAUUUGA